GAUGAACGCUGGCGGCGUGCCUAAUACAUGCAAGUCGAGCGAACAGACGAGGAGCUUGCUCCUCUGACGUUAGCGGCGGACGGGUGAGUAACACGUGGAUAACCUACCUAUAAGACUGGGAUAACUUCGGGAAACCGGAGCUAAUACCGGAUAAUAUAUUGAACCGCAUGGUUCAAUAGUGAAAGACGGCUUUGCUGUCACUUAUAGACGGAUCCGCGCCGCAUUAGCUAGUUGGUAAGGUAACGGCUUACCAAGGCAACGAUGCGUAGCCGACCUGAGAGGGUGAUCGGCCACACUGGAACUGAGACACGGUCCAGACUCCUACGGGAGGCAGCAGUAGGGAAUCUUCCGCAAUGGGCGAAAGCUUGACGGAGCAACGCCGCGUGAGUGAUGAAGGUCUUCGGAUCGUAAAACUCUGUUAUUAGGGAAGAACAAAUGUGUAAGUAACUAUGCACGUCUUGACGGUACCUAAUCAGAAAGCCACGGCUAACUACGUG
rnacentral:rRNA from 1 species